rnacentral:rRNA from 1 species
UACGUAGGGGGCAAGCGGUUGUCCGGAUUUAUUGGGCGUAAAGCGCAACGCAGGCGGUCUUAUAAGUUUCGAGUGACAGGUGGUGGCUUAACUGCCACAGGCCUUGGAAAACUGUAAGACUUGAGGACUUCAGAGGGAUGCGGAAUUCCAGGUGGAGCGGUGAAAAUGCGUAGAGAUCUGGAAAGAACACCAAAGGCGAAGGCAGCAUCCUGGGAAGACCCUGACGCUGAUGUGCGAAAGGCUAGGGGAGCGAACGGG